rnacentral:rRNA from 1 species
UUGAACGCUGGCGGAAUGCUUUACACAUGCAAGUCGAGCGGCAGCGCGGGGGCAACCCUGGCGGCGAGCGGCGAACGGGUGAGUAAUACAUCGGAACGUACCCAGUUGUGGGGGAUAGCCCGGCGAAAGCCGGAUUAAUACCGCAUAAGUCCUGAGGGAGAAAGCGGGGGACCGUAAGGCCUCGCGCGAUUGGAGCGGCCGAUGUUCGAUUAGCUAGUUGGUGGGGUAAAGGCCUACCAAGGCGACGAUCGAUAGCUGGUCUGAGAGGACGACCAGCCACACUGGAACUGAGACACGGUCCAGACUCCUACGGGAGGCAGCAGUGGGGAAUUUUGGACAAUGGGGGCAACCCUGAUCCAGCCAUUCCGCGUGAGUGAAGAAGGCCUUCGGGUUGUAAAGCUCUUUCGGACGGAAAGAAACGGUCACGGCCAAUACCCGUGGCUAAUGACGGUACCGUCAGAAGAAGCACCGGCUAACUACGU